rnacentral:rRNA from 1 species
CUGCCCUUAGUUGCUAUCCCGUAAGGGGAGCACUCUAAGGGGACUGCCGGCGAUAAGCCGGAGGAAGGUGGGGAUGACGUCAGGUCAGUAUGCCCUUUAUGCCCGGGGCUACACAGGCGCUACAGUGGCCGGGACAAUGGGAUGCGACCCAGUAAUGGGGAGCUAAUCCCCCAAACCCGGUCAUGGUGCAGAUUGAGGGCUGAAACUCGCCCUCAUGAAGCCGGAAUCGGUAGUAAUGGCGGAUCAGCUAAGCCGCCGUGAA